rnacentral:lncRNA from 10 species
CCGCGCCUGGCCAAACUUCAGCCUAUUCUUAUAAAAAGAUACAGUCCGAGGUGGGGCACGGUGGCUCACACCUGUAAUUCCAGCACUUUGGGAGGCCAAGGCAGGAGGACCGCUUGAGGCUAGGAGUUCAAUACUAGCCUGGCUGACAUAGGAAGACCCCAUCUCUAAAAAAAUAAAUAAAUAAGCAAAUUAGCCAGACAUUGUGGUGCACGCCUGUGGUCCCUGAUACUUCAGAGGCUGAGGUGGGAGAAUCACUUGAGCCCAGGAGGCCAAGGCUGCAGUGAGCAGGGUCACGCCACUGCACUCCAGCAUAGGUGAUAGCAAGAUUCUGCCUCAAAAACAAAUGAAACAAAGGGUACAGUCUGGUGUCUGCUAUGAUAGAGAAUUGACAAAGGGGCUGGUCAGUGACACAGAGGAGAGCAAAGUGCCUCACUGGGAACAUGCCGUUGCUGGGGAUAGUGAUGCCCACUGGUCAGUGUUUCAAGGGCCACCAGCAGCAGCAGUGCACAGGCACCCAUUGCUAAGGAGACCUGUACUCUGCCCUGCCCAGGAAGUUCUUCAUCUCUGUGUGCAUGCAGCUUAGUUCCUGCUCCUUCAGCCAAGCUAACGCGGAAGCCCUAGAGCAUCUGGACCAAGCAAGGAAGCCGGCAGGAGCCUCUGCACUGCCUAUGAAUUUGACCAACGGGACUUGGGCCUGGAAAAGAGCAUCCCGAACAGUGGAGAGGAAGAGGGAGUGAGGCCCUGUGGACACAGCAGAGGAAUCCACAAUGGAUUUGCAGCAGGCUGGUGGAGGCAGAGCAGAGAAGGGCGGGAGAGGGCCAGCGAAGGCCUGGGAAGGUGGACCCACAAACUCGUCUCCUAAUGAAGCUAACCAGCAAUGCGAGGGCACACAGGGAGACCCCCUAGAGGCUGCCCCAGGCCAGGAGUCACCUGUGAACUGAGGUGGCCAAGGCAGGUUCUGUGGCAGAGGGUGAAUGCCUGCAGAUGAGAACCAGCCGCGGUGCCCAGAAAGGAACAGUGUGCGGGCCUGACGGGAGCCCCCAUCAAUACAACCAGCUCCUGCUCAGAACUCUCUUCAGGCAGACAAAUAGAAGAUAUGUUUCUACUUCCCCAGGCCUCAGCACCAUGACUAUUCUAGUCCCAGUGGAUACCCUGCUUCAGGUUUUAUGCAGCUGAGUUGAAAAAGAAUAACAGAAUAGGAGGAAAACAAGGGGAAGAAGGUAGGUGGGACGCCCCAAAUCAUCUUGAGUGCACUCCAUAAAAGAAAGAGGCAUUAAAGCAGCCCCCUCUCCUAUCUCAAGCCAUCCUUCAACUUAUAGGGACUUUGCACAUAGUUGCUGCAGGUUGGCCUGCCUCUGUCAGAGGUGUUUAAACCAGAUUGACUCUCUCUUGUAUAGGGGCUGGGUAAAAUGAGGCUGAGACCUACUGGGCUGCAUUCUCAGGAGAUUAGGCAUUCUAAGUCACAGGAUGAGAUAGGAGGUCGGCACAAGAUACAGAUCACAAAGACCUUGCUGAUAAAACAGGUUGCAGUAAAGAAGCCGGCCAAAACCCACCAAAACCAAGAUGGUGACGAGAGUGACUCUGGUCGUCCUCACUGCUACACUCCCAUCAGCGCCAUGACAGUUUACAGAUGCCAUAGCAACGUCUGGAAGUUACCUGUACGGUCUAUAAAGGGGAGGCAUGAAUAAUCCACCCCUUGUUUAGCAUAUCAUCAAGAAAUAACCAUAAAAAUGGGCAACCAGGAGCCCUUGGGGCUCCUCUGCCUAUGGAGUGGCCAUUCUUUUAUUCCUUUACUUUCUCAAUAAACUUGCUUUCACUUUAUUCUAUGGACUCGCCCCGAAUUCUUUCUUGUGAGAGAUCCAAGAACCCUCUAUUGGGGUGUGGAUCAGGACCCCUUUCCAGUAACACCCCUAUUGUGAGAAGAUGCCUUAAAUGGCUGGAGUUCUGGUGCUGAGCUGUGUUUUCACUCUGGGUAGUUUGUUGUUAGCUUUUUUAACAGCUUAAUUGAGAUAUAGGUAAGAUAUAGUUCACUAGUUAAGAUACAGUUCCGUUCUGGUGUUGCUGUAAAGGAAUACCUGAGGCUGGGAAACUUACAAGAAAAGAGGAUUGUUUGGCUCAUGGUUCUGCAGGCUGUACCAGAAGCAUGGCACCAGCAUCUGCUUCUGGUGAGGCCUCAGGAAGCUUCCAAUCAUGACAGAAGGCCAGGGGGAAGCAGGCAGAAGUGUUAG